rnacentral:rRNA from 1 species
GUCCUAAGGUAGCGAAAUUCCUUGUCAGGUAAAUUCUGACCCGCACGAAUGGCGUAACGACUUGGGCGCUGUCUCAACGAGAGAUCCGGUGAAAUUUUAAUACCUGUGAAGAUGCAGGUUACCCGCGACAAGACGGAAAGACCCCAUGGAGCUUUACUGCAGCUUGAUAUUGAAUUUGGGUACGAUCUGUACAGGAUAGGUGGGAGCCGUUGAGCCUUGAGCGCCAGCUUGAGGGGAGGCAUCCUUGGGAUACCACCCUGAUCGUAUCUAGGUUCUAACUUGGUACCGUAAUCCGGUACGAGGACAGUGUCAGGUGGGCAGUUUGACUGGGGCGGUCGCCUCCUAAAGAGUAACGGAGGCGCCCCAAGGUUCCCUCAGAAUGGUUGGAAAUCAUUCGAAGAGUGCAAAGGCAGAAGGGAGCUUGACUGCGAGACCUACAAGUCGAGCAGGGACGAAAGUCGGGCUUAGUGAUCCGGUGGUACCGCAUGGAAGGCCUCGCUCAAC